rnacentral:rRNA from 1 species
UUAACAGAGUAUUAUAAGCAAAGAGCUAAAAAGCAUUGGGCUAUCAAUGGUGAUAGAAACACAAAUUAUUUUCAUCAUGUUGUUCUUAAGAGGAGGAGGAAAAAUAGUAUUGUUUCUAUUAAGGAUGAGAAUAACAACCUUCAAGUUGAGCCUCAUGCUAUUGCCAAGACCUUCAUCAAUUAUUUUCAGAGUCAUGGCAGGCCUUAUAUGCACACAUCCUACUAUCAAGGAGAAGAUGAUUUUACUUAUAGCAUCCGAGAUAAAAAAGAAAUCUUGGAUACAUUGAAAGCCAUGAAAAGUAAUGCUUCACCGGGACCGGAUGGAUUCAAUGUGGAGUUCUAUUUAGCAGCAUGGGAUUGGAUAGGCGACGACAUAACCAAGCUAAUCAGAGAUUUCUACAUACAAGGUAUUGUUCCUAAUCAUUUGAAUGAUACUCAUAUUGUUUUGAUUCCUAAGAAAAUUGCUCCUCAGAUUCCUCAAGAUUUUAGACCC